rnacentral:rRNA from 1 species
GAUGAACGCUGGCGGCGUGCCUAAUACAUGCAAGUCGAGCGAACGGACGAGGAGCUUGCUUCUCUGAUGUUAGCGGCGGACGGGGGAGUAACACGUGGAUAACCUACCUAUAAGACUGGGAUAAAUUCGGGAAACCGGAGCUAAUACCGGAUAAUAUUUUGAACCGCAUGGUUCAAAAGUGAAAGACGGUCUUGCUGUCACUUAUAGAUGGAUCCGCGCUGCAUUAGCUAGUUGGUAAGGUAACGGCUUACCAAGGCAACGAUGCAUAGCCGACCUGAGAGGGUGAUCGGCCACACUGGAACUGAGACACGGUCCAGACUCCUACGGGAGGCAGCAGUAGGGAAUCUUCCGCAAUGGGCGAAAGCCUGACGGAGCAACGCCGCGUGAGUGAUGAAGGUCUUCGGAUCGUAAAACUCUGUUAUUAGGGAAGAACAUAUGUGUAAGUAACUGUGCACAUCUUGACGGUACCUAAUCAGAAAGCCACGGCUAACUACGUG